GUGACACGGUUACCUAAUAAUUCCUUGUUUAAAGUUUGCUCCAAGCAUCAUAUCCACCACAGCCUGCAUUGAUAACAUAACAAAUACACACAUACACACAAUAUCUGAAAUGUGUCUUCCAAUGCCCUAAAGAAAAACACACGAUACCUGUUCUGUGGAACAUAAUGUGUUAAUGACACACCUGUCAACUAUUGACACAAUCAAUGCACUUGACAGACUGUAACCUUUAAAG